rnacentral:rRNA from 1 species
UAGUCUCGCACAGAUGCAUAUCAAUAAGCGGAGGAAAAGAAACUAACAAGGAUUCCCCUAGUAACGGCGAGUGAAGCGGGAAGAGCUCAAAUUUGAAAUCUUAAAGGGUUUCCCUUUACGAAUUGUAGUUUAAAGAAGUGUUUUCUGUUGAGGUUUUGGUAAAAGUUCUUUGGAAUAGGACAUCAUAGAGGGUGAGAAUCCCGUAUUUGACCUUUACUUUCAACUUUGUGAUACACUUUCAAAGAGUCGGAUUGAUUUGGGAAUGCAGUCCAAAAUGUGUGGUAAAUUUCAUCUAAAGCUAAAUAUUGGCGAGAGACCGAUAGCGAACAAGUACCGUGAGGGAAAGAUGAAAAGAACUUUGAAAAGAGAGUUAAACAGUACGUGAAAUUGUCAAAAGGGAAGCGUUUGACACCAGUGUUGUUUUUCUGAAAAUCAAUUAAAGAACUGUUUAUGCUAAGUUGUUUAGACUUUAUCAGCUAUCUGCUUAGUUUUGAGCUUUUCUUUAAUGCACUUUUCAGUUAACAAGUCAACAUCAAUUUCUUUUGCUGUAAAAAAGCUUGAGGAAGGUGGCUUGAGAUUCGUCUUAAGUGUUUAUAGCCUCUUGCCUAUGCAGUCGGAGAGAUUGAGGUCUGCAGCGUAGAUCCUUCGGGGCUAAAUGCAUUUGUGCUAAGUUAUAGCAUUUUAUAGACAACUUGUUGACUAUGAUUUGUCUUGUAGCUUACUCGCUUAUGUUAUUUUACCUACGCUUAGGAUGUUGACGCAUGAGAUAUACGC